ACAGGAGUGUCUGAUUCCCCUCUGGAUCUCUCCAAGUCACCUUUGCAUCCGAGUAUCCUCUCUUAGUUGCCUCAUUUCCUUAGGACGUAAUUUUACUCUCCUUUUUAAUGGCUCUGGCAGACUUCAUAGUGCGCUCGUAUCCAUCCGUUGUUUCUCAGCUGGUAUUCCCUGUAGCAGUCUCAUCUGUCAUUGCCAGCAAGUUUGUUCUUUUCUGAUAAAGGUGGAGGUUGUUCCUUCACCAAAAAAUAAGAAGUGUUCUUGAUCCUAAAUUUAAACGUUCCCCUGUACAGCAGUACCUUGAAACUGAGUCACUCUCCCUCCAGUAACCUAGCUGAAGGCAUUUCAGAGGAGGCUAUAGGAAGCACUCUGAAUUUUAUAUUCCCAACAUUUCAGUGUGAAAUGCUUCAAGACUUUUCUGCAUUCUGCGUUUCCUUAGGCCAGUUAUACUACAGUCUCUCACUCUCUCCCAGUUUCUGCAAAGACCUGUCCACAUGCCUCAUAAUCAGAUCCAGGACUGAUGAGACCAGGCACGGUGUAAACAAGCUGUUCUGCUGCAAGCGUCUCUUCACGGCAGCUUGGCAAAUGUGGGACCCAGGCACAACAAUGCAGUGCGCUUUGGCCAGUCUGACAGUCCAGAAGACCAAUAGUCUUGUCCAGUAAAACAGUCUCAAAAUAGGAGCAAGGCUUAUACUGCUUACAUUGUGGCUGUGCUGCUGAAUACCAGCUGCCGACCAGAACUCUGACGUGUGUCUGGGCUUGGACAAAAGACAAAG
rnacentral:lncRNA from 1 species